rnacentral:lncRNA from 1 species
GGAUGAUCAAGGAGAAGAAGAGACUCUAGUUUCUUAUUUGAGGUUACAAGUGAUUGUUACCGGUUGUCAUGGUAACUUUCCUUCUCCUGACCAGGCAGCCAAUAUCUCUUAAACUUUUGUUCCAAUAAAAACAGGUUUCCCUCAGUUGAGCACACACAGGAUAAAAGGCUUUUUCUUAUUAGUGCCAUUGGACUGUUUGAACACCAGAACUCACUGGAAAUAAAAGAUUCAAUUUAGAGAUUGUGUGUGCAGCCUGGCCCAUUGCCCACAGUAUUCUACCUGCCACCCUGGGGGAGGCUGAGCAGAGACAGCAAAAGGAGGCUUCACUUUUCAGAAUGCUGUCCCAUGGGUUCUCUCUGAGAGAUUCAUUCCUAUUCAAUAAGCAUCAAAGACAACUACCCAAACAGAAGUUUCUUCUCUGGGAAGGACUGAUGCUUGCACGUGAACCCUGGAACUUCUUCAGGCACUCAUUCAGGGGCUGAACCUGUCAUUUGAUGAAACUGAACCUGCAGAGGUGAGAGGAGAAUAACACACACACACACACACACACACACACACGGGCAGGCAGGCAGGCAGGCAUGCCUCCAUAGAUGCGCAUCUACAUAAGACUUCAGUGAUAUGGUUUAAUCUCUUAAACUAACCAUGAAUUAAAGGUGUAGAGAAAAGGAAGUACUUAAGCAAUUGUAGGUGGUAAUAUAAGUUUAUUUGGCCAUUAUGGAAAAGAGUAUGGCAGUUCCUCAAUAAUAAAAUAUUUAACUACCAUAGGAUCUUGUGAUCA